rnacentral:snRNA from 1 species
CUAAACUCAUUUGAUUAUGAGU